GCCUGGGUGGCUCAGACGGUUGAGUGUCUGACUUCGGCUCAGGUCGUGAUCUUAUGAUUUGUGAGUUUGAGCCCCACAUCAGGCU
rnacentral:tRNA from 1 species